AACCGAGUUUGUGGAGUGCGAAACCCAUCCCCCCUCUCUGUACAACAAGAGUCGGACAAAGCAUCUCUCUCUCUCUCUAGAAAAAACUUGAACAAAGUCGAUCCAUUUGUUUCUCUUCUAAAAACACUAACUUGGAAUCAGGAUUUGGAUGAUACUGAGAUAUAGGUUUAUGAUGACGACAUACAACUUCAUGGCUCCUGUUGACAUGGAAUAGAUGGAGAAAAAAGUUGUUAUGCAUAACAUAUAUAUCAAAUCUUUCAAGGGGAUUGACACCAAAAAUUUCAAUGGUAGACCAAGAUAUUGUGUAUAGGCAAUUACGACCUUCUGAUAUUGGAGUUCUUGAGCGAAUUCAUUGUGAUCUAUUUCCCAUUAGGUAUGAAAGUGAGUUCUUCCACAACGCUGUAAGUGGUCGGGAUAUUGUGUCUUGGGGGGCAGUUGACUGUAGUCGAACUGAUGGCCGAAGCGAUGAACUUGUUGGAUUUGUUACUGCACGUACUAUUUUAGCAAAUGAUAGCGAGAUAGGGGAUAUGCUCAGAUAUGAUCCUACCAGGACAGAUCAAACACUAGUUUAUAUUCUUACAUUAGGCGUGGUAGAGUCUUAUCGUAAUCGUGGAAUAGCUGCUGCACUUACUCGAGAGGUUAUAAAGUAUGCAUCAAACCUAGCACAUUGUCAAGCAGUUUACUUGCACGUCAUAUCUUACAAUAAUCCUGCAAUUCAAUUCUACAAGAAGUUGUGCUUUAAAUUCGUACGGAGAUUAUCGGGGUUUUAUUACAUCCAAGGCCAACAUUAUGAUUCGCUUUUGUUCGUGUACUAUGUGAAUGGCGGUCGAUCUCCUUGUUCCCCACUGAAUCUUGAUAUUAUUAAGACUUUGGUGGGAAAGAUUGGAAGGCACCUUCGCUUAAGAAAUCUUAGGAGUAAUUAACCCUCUUGCUCUAGCUACAAAAGUGGUAGAACUGCAUCACCAUUUCAAAUUUAUACGGCAAAAGAAUAAGAAAGAAAUAAAAGAUUAUAUCUCCGCACAUCUACCAGAAAGAGUAAUAUAGUCCUUUACACACGGCCUCUUAUGAACCCCAGAAUAGAGAUUGUAGCAACCGUCGCAGCCUACGUUAAAAGCUUUUUCAAGUUAAUGGUCACAAGGCUAUGGAAGAGUGAGGAAAAGGUGUCAAGAUGGUCUAAAUGUAAGGAAAGUAGUCGUCUUUUAACAGCCCAAAAUAAGAGGAAUAUUACCUCUGAUAGUGAUGGUUGUCAGUGUGUUUAAUAACUUGUGUAAUAUUCUUAUUUUCAUGUUGUGUAAUUAUCAAUUCUUAACUUAACUUGGUCACAUCAGUUUGUUAGUUGUAUUGUAGCAUUUCCUUCCGAUUGAGUAAAUAAUUUUAUUCAGUCCGCA